rnacentral:rRNA from 1 species
GGGGGGGGGGGGGGGGGGGGGGGGGGGGUGGGGGGGGGGGGGGGGGGCGGGGGGGGGGGGGGGUGCGGGGGGGGCGAAGGGGUGAGUAGCGGGUGGGUAACCGGCCCUUGGCGGUGGGCUGAGGUCAGGAGACUGGGGCGAAGACCGGAUAGGAGCUCCUGGGGGAGGGUGGGGGGGGGAAAGUUUCGGCGGGUGGGGAUGGACUCGCGGCUUAUCAGCUUGUUGGUGGGGUAGUGGCUUACCAAGGCUUUGACGGGUAGACGGCCUGAGAGGGUGACCGGCCACAGUGGGACUGAGAUACGGCCCAGACUCCUACGGGAGGCAGCAGGGGGGAAUAUUGCACAAUGGGCGGAAUCCUGAUGCAGCAACGCCGCGUGCGGGAUGACGGCCUUCGGGUUGUAAACCGCUUUCGCCUGUGACGAAGCGUGAGUGACGGUAAUGGGUAAAGAAGCACCGGCUAACUACGUG